GGUAGGGUGGCAAACGGGUGAGUAAUACAUGGGUGAUCUACCUUAAGGAUGGGGAUAUCCUUCCGAAAGGAGGGGCAAUACCGAAUAUUGUCCGGAGCCAUGAAGGGUUCCGGGGAAAGGGAGGCCUCUGACACAAACUUUCGCCUUAAGAUGAGCCCAUGGCCCAUCAGCUAGUUGGUAGGGUAAAGGCCUACCAAGGCUACGACGGGUCGCUGGUCUGAGAGGACGACCAGCCACACUGGCACUGAGAUACGGGCCAGACUCCUACGGGAGGCAGCAGUGAGGAAUAUUGCGCAAUGGGGGAAACCCUGACGCAGCAACGCCGCGUGUGGGAAGAAGGCCUUCGGGUCGUAAACCACUUUUGCACGGGACGAAAAAGGGAUAUCGAACAAAUAUCCCCGAUGACGGUACCGUGAGAAUAAGCCACGGCUAACUCUGUGCCAGCAGCCGCGGUAAGACAGAGGUGGCAAGCGUUGUUCGGAAUUACUGGGCGUAAAGAGUCUGUAGGUGGUUUGUCAAGUCUUUGGUGAAAGGCCGUAGCUUAACUAUGGGAAUGCCAAAGAGACUGGCAGGCUGGAGGCUGGGAUAGGGAAGCGGAAUUUCUGGUGUAGCGGUGAAAUGCGUAGAUAUCACAAGGAAGGCCGGUGGCGAAGGCGGCUUCCUGGAAUAGUCCUGACACUGAGACACGAAUGCGUGGGGAUCACACAGGAUUAGAUACGCUGGUAGUCCACGACCUGAAAGAUGGGUACUAAGCG
rnacentral:rRNA from 1 species